rnacentral:rRNA from 1 species
UACGUAGGGGGCAAGCGUUGUCCGGAUUUAUUGGGCGUAAAGAGCGUGUAGGCGGUUUGGUAGGUCCGCUGUGAAAACUCGAGGCUCAACCUCGAGACGCCGGUGGAAACCAUCAGGCUAGAGUCCGGAAGAGGAGAGUGGAAUUCCUGGUGUAGCGGUGAAAUGCGCAGAUAUCAGGAGGAACACCAGUGGCGAAGGCGGCCUGCUGGGCAGUUGCUGACGCUGAGGCGCGACAGCGUGGGGAGCAAACAGG